rnacentral:rRNA from 1 species
GGCUCAGGAUGAACGCUAGCGGCAGGCUAACACAUGCAAGUCGAGGGGCAUCGGGAGUAGCAAUACUUGCCGGCGACCGGCGCAAGGGUGCGUAACGCGUGAGCAACAUGCCCGUAUCAGGGGGAUAAUCCAUGGAAACGUGGUCUAAUACCCCAUAGUAAUUAUGUAAGGCAUCUUAUAUAAUUUAAAGCUUUGGUGGAUACGGAUUGGCUCGCGUGACAUUAGCUAGAUGGUAAGGUAACGGCUUACCAUGGCUACGAUGUCUAGGGGUUCUGAGAGGAAGGUCCCCCCACACUGGAACUGAGACACGGUCCAGACUCCUACGGGAGGCAGCAGUGAGGAAUAUUGGACAAUGGAUGGAAAUCUGAUCCAGCCAUGCCGCGUGCAGGAAAGACGGCCCUAUGGGUUGUAAACUGCUUUUGUAUGGGAGCAAUAAGGGCUACGCGUAGUCCGAUGAGAGUACCAUACGAAUAAGCACCGGCUAACUCCGUGCCAGCAGCUGC